UUAUUCAGUUCUCUAUGCUAUGAAUAACCCAUCUCAGGAAACAGAGAAUGCUAUGAAGUAUUAAAAACAUUUCAAUCUUUGAUGGGCUCUGUCCCUUUCGUCCACGUGGAAGACGUCUGCAACACCUCCAUCUUCUUGAUGAAAAAUCCAAGUGCCCACGGUAGGUAUGUGUGCUGUUCAGACAAUGUCUCACUUGCUGACAUGGCAGAAAUUUUUCGUCAACGCUAUCCGAGCAUACCUGUAGCCCUUGAUGAUAGGGAGCAAAUUGAGAAGGUCCCAAUAUCUUC